CUAACAAACCGGAUAUUCCCAAUUUUUGAAUUUUUUUCGUUUAAUCGUUUUCUCACUCUCAAUGACGAUUGAAAACCAUUUAGGUUCUUACGAUUUGUUCUACGAUUGAUAACCAUUGCUUGUCAUUAGAGGAUCAUAAUCAUGAAUAUGGUUUGGGUUCUUAAUCCGUACUUUCGUUUACAAAGAAUAACAAUUGGAGGCAUGGAAGAAGAAAAAAAAUUCUCACUCUCAAUUGGAGUCGAUGAUUGAAAACCAUUUGGGUUCUUAAUCCGAUCAAGCUCUCUAACUCUUCACCCGAUCAAGCUUGGUUUCAGUGUUUUUUUUUUUAGCUUCUUUAACCCGAUCAAUUUGGGGAGGAGAAGGGAGUGUUUAAUUAUGUUUUCUGGGUUUAGAGAUUUGUAUUUUGAGUAAUUUUUCUUAUGAGAAUUUGGAGUAAUUAUGAGAUUCUGUUAUGGCUUGUAGGGUGGUGCUUGCGCCCAUGACUAGAUGCAGAGCUUUGAAUGGAAUCCAUGGGCCAGCUUUGGCUGAGUACUACACGCAAAGAUCCACCCAAGGUGGAUUCCUCAUCACUGAAGGGACUCUGGUCUCCAACACCGCACCAUCACACCAGCUUUCAUUAAAGCCAUAUAUAUUGCGAUAUGAGAUUUUGCAAAGAUAUAGUUUUAUUAAACUCAUAUAUGUUAUUGUUGUUGUUUUUAGUUAUUAGAGAUAUAUAUAUAUAUAUUAUAUACAACUCUGAUUUUUGUAUCAACCAUGCACUCUUGCUGUUUGAUGAAAUUCCGAGAUGGGUUUAUAUAUAUAUUUUUGGAUGAGCAAUAAUUGAGAGUAGACCUCUCCGCAUUCAUUUUACAAUUUUUUUGUUUCCUUAAUGAUUAUUUUGAUAGACCUCACUUUGUUUAUAAAUGGAGGGGCCGAAUAUGAUAAAAUAGUCUAUUAAUACCAGUCUUACUUUUUAUAUAUACUCUGGUCUCUCAGCAUUCAUUUUAAUUGUGCAUAGGCACCACCGCACCAGCUCCAAUGGCGAAAGUCACUUCACCAAAAAGGAUCACUCUGUUUUCCCCUUACAACAUGGCCAACUUCAAUCUCUCUCACAGACAGUAGUAUACUUACAUUGUACAAGAGUUAAAGUGGUACAUUUAUUGGUGGAAAAUCAUAUAUCCUCCGGCCUUUAGCCUUUUAUUGAGUACAGAAAGAUACCACAAUAAUAUGCCUCUAAACAUAACGAUGGGAAGUGAUCAAUAAUAUCAAAUUUGCCUAUAAUUUGCCCUUGGACGUGAACGUUAGCUUUCUUCUAUCUGACAUCAAAGGUUGCUGACUUUUUUUGUAAUCUAAGCAAUACCAACGAUUUCAAUGGCUUUCUUUUCCAAGUUUCCUCCUCUUCCUUUA